AUACCAUUAUUUAUUCAUAGUGGAAGAUUAAUUUCUACUAUUCAUAGUCACAAUUCACAUCACCAUGAAUCCUACUUUCUCAUUUGCAACCUUAUCAAAAUUGUACCUAUCAAAUGUGUGGACGUGUGGUUGAUCUGUUUGGUGUCUGUUUGGUUAAGCGUUUAGACAACCAAAACGCGCUUUUGCCAACCAAAACGUGCUUUUUCUGUUUUUUGGGUCGUUUGGAUAAAACUCAAACGUGAAUCUCUGGAACGCGAAUCUUCACUCAAACGCAAGUUUACAUGAAGCUACAAAUCCAAGCUUCUGAAAAUCGCGUUUCCACGGCAGGUACUACGUCACCGUCAAUUUGUCAAUUUUGCCCUUUCGAAGUCUUCUGGAAAUCGCGAGUUUACAAUUUGUCAAAGAAAGGAUGAGAAUAAUUAGAGGUUGUUCACCUGAUUUAUUUACUGAGAAGGAACAAACAACAAGGCAGAGGGGAGAGUGCUUGCGGCAGGCGGCGAUGUUGUAACUUGUAUCCUGCGUUUUUGAAUUU
rnacentral:lncRNA from 1 species